CUGUAACAAAACUACUCUAAAAGCAGAUUAUACUUAAUUGUAACCGAAUUGAAAAGUUUUGAACUAUUCAUUACAGCUCUUAGCUUGUCUCCAUAUGCAGUCUGAAUGGGCUGUUUUCAAACAGGGAAUCACCAACAGCGGAGUGCACUUUGUGGGACGUUUUCACGUGCCGUCUGAUUGUGUGGCAUCUUUCUAAUUUUAAGAAGACUUCCAUCUAAACUAAUUUGUUUGCACGAACUUUAAUUUAAAUUGCUGCUUUCGGGCAAUUGCCCGGUGUUCUUAACAUUUUAACUGGCAGAUUGCAUCGUUCAGACCAAAAAGAGCGUUCCUCGAUAAACAGGACCGAAAGAGAAAGAAGAAACAAAAUGAGGAGUCUACCGACUAUGGCACUGAUGUUACUUGGUGUUGCCUUCCUUGUAAAGGAAAUUUCUGGAAAAAGCUCACCUUGGGACAGAAUGGGAGUAACUUGUGAAAGAGAGACUGUUAAAGUCACUAUACGAAAUGAAAUUGGUUGCAGUAAAUCAGGUGUCAGAGUGAAGUUUUGUCGUGGCACUUGCAAAUCUGCAAGCGUUUUUCUUUCCUACUGGCCAUUUUACGAAAGUGCCUGCCGUUGUUGUCGGAAAAUUGGAAUUGUGAAACGGCCAGUUUUGCUCAAGUGUCCUG